rnacentral:rRNA from 1 species
UGAGGAAUAUUGGUCAAUGGGCGCGAGCCUGAACCAGCCAAGUAGCGUGAAGGAUGAAGGUCCUACGGAUUGUAAACUUCUUUUAUAAGGGAAUAAAGUCACCCACGUGUGGGUGUUUGUAUGUACCUUAUGAAUAAGCAUCGGCUAACUCCGUGCCAGCAGCCGCGGUAAUACGGAGGAUGCGAGCGUUAUCCGGAUUUAUUGGGUUUAAAGGGAGCGUAGACGGGCCGUUAAGUCAGCUGUGAAAGUUUGAGGCUCAACCUUAAAAUUGCAGUUGAUACUGGCGUCCUUGAGUACGGUUGAGGCAGGCGGAAUUCGUGGUGUAGCGGUGAAAUGCUUAGAUAUCACGAAGAACUCCGAUUGCGAAGGCAGCCUGCUAAGCUGCAACUGACAUUGAGGCUCGAAAGUGUGGGUAUCAAACAGGAUUAGAUACCCUGGUAGUCCACACGGUAAACGAUGAAUACUCGCUGUUUGCGAUAUACUGCAAGCGGCCAAGCGAAAGCGUUAAGUAUUCCACCUGGGGAGUACGCCGGCAACGGUGAAACUCAAAGGAAUUGACGGGGGCCCGCACAAGCGGAGGAACAUGUGGUUUAAUUCGAUGAUACGCGAGGAACCUUACCCGGGCUUAAAUUGCAGAUGAAUUACGGUGAAAGCCGUAAGCCGCAAGGCAUCUGUGAAGGUGCUGCAUGGUUGUCGUCAGCUCGUGCCGUGAGGUGUCGGCUUAAGUGCCAUAACGAGCGCAACCCUCGUGUCCAGUUACUAGCAGGUUAUGCUGAGGACUCUGGACAGACUGCCAUCGUAAGAUGUGAGGAAGGUGGGGAUGACGUCAAAUCAGCACGGCCCUUACGUCCGGGGCUACACACGUGUUACAAUGGGGGGUACAGCAGGCAGCUACCGGGCGACCGGAUGCCAAUCCCGAAAGCCUCUCUCAGUUCGGACUGGAGUCUGCAACCCGACUCCACGAAGCUGGAUUCGCUAGUAAUCGCGCAUCAGCCACGGCGCGGUGAAUACGUUCCC